UAAUCAAAGUACUGAAGUACUGAACAUCAGAGGACCUCAAGUUGUGUUGAAUUAUUGAUAAAUGACAUGUGUUUAUAUUAUACCUGCCGGACAGAUAUGUUCACCUUACAAUAUAGUACAAAUAAUAUAAUUUGCUAUGCUAUAUCUGAGAUACUGACUUGAACUAGGAUACUUAACUUUGUGAAUUAUCAAUGAUUAUGUGGUCAAAUGAGAACUGUUAGAUUUGCAUUAUGACCAUAUAGUUGCACACAUACAAAAAUAGUUAGCAUAUAACUUACAAUAGAGAAUUAACAUAGCAAACAAUUCUUCGAGUAGCUAUAUAGUCACUCACCAAUGCUCACUGAACUAUGAUAUUAAGGAGGUUCAAGACAAUCAUAUUAAAACGGACAAAUUGUAAUAUUGGAGCUAAAGAUACCAGAUGAACAGCAAACUCAUAAACCGAAAAUAAACUUACAAUUCCAUGACUAAAACUAAAAAAGACAUGCAGACAAAUAAAAGUACACUAAAAACAACAGGUGCUCUGGAUGGGUAAGCAGAUCCUGCUCUACAAAUGACAUUUAUUAACAAUGUUUGUUCAUGUAGUAUCCAUGGCCAGGUCUUCUACUUUCUGGAACAUUUAGCUUUUGGAUCAAUCACUAAUGGGGUGGAUGUUAACACAGCAAUAUUACUAUCCCUUAUUCUAGAUUUUUGUUGCAGUCAACAAAAACUUUUUUAAUGUUCAUAAAUAGCUUCACUGAGUUAUCUUGGUUUUAUUGCAACACAGUCAAUCAUUUAUCCAUUAUAUUUAAAAAAAAAAAAAAUAAGAAUCUGCAGCUAUACAUGUACAUUGUAGGUUCUGUUUUCUAAUUAUUAAAUGAUUCAUUGUAAAUAUUACAAUAUAUGAUAUGUACAUGUAGAUAGCCUUUCGCUAAUGAUGGUAUUUUUGUUAAUUGAAUUUCACAACAUCUGGAUAGUUUUUCAACUGUUAGUCUUUUUUUACUUUGUUCUGGAUUUAAUACUUUGAAUACCACUGGUUUAAGCAAUGAGAAAAUUUUGCACCACACAUAUAGAACACAACUACCAUAUGAAUGUGUUGGUCCUUAGUAAGAAGCAUGUAAAACAGGGCUUGUAAUUUUUUGGUGUAUAUCUUGAUUUUCCGUUUGUACAUUGAUGUGGCCAUUAGUUUUCUUGUAUGUAUUGUUUAACAUUUGUCAUUUAAAUUUCAUGGCUAUUUCUUACUGAUGUAUGUAUAGUUUUUUUGAUUGUAAAAGUGUUGUAUGGUAAGCUUUAUUUCUUUUUUGUCAUUUUGUAUAGGGCUGGUGUCUGAUUACCAGAUUACCAAUCAUACCACCCUUUUCAUUUCUUUUUUUUUUAUGCAUUAUGACAACAGUUU
rnacentral:lncRNA from 1 species